AUACAGAGGGUGCGAGCGUUAAUCGGAAUUACUGGGCGUAAAGCGCGCGUAGGCGGCUUGGUCAGUCGGAUGUGAAGGCCCCGGGCCCAACCUGGGAAUGGCAUUCGAUACUGCCAGGCUAGAGUAUGGGAGAGGGAAGUGGAAUUUCCGGUGUAGCGGUGAAAUGCGUAGAUAUCGGAAGGAACACCAGUGGCGAAGGCGACUUCCUGGCCCAAUACUGACGCUGAGGUGCGAAAGCGUGGGGAGCGAACAGGAUUAGAAACCCUAGUAGUCC
rnacentral:rRNA from 1 species